AUCGAACGCUGGCGGCAUGCUUUACACAUGCAAGUCGAACGGCAGCGCGGGCUUCGGCUUGUCUGCGAGUGUCGAACGGGUGAGUAAUGCAUCUGAACGUGCUCCGUAGUGGGGGAUAGUCCGGCGAAAACCGGAUUAAUACCGCACACUACCUGAGGGUGAACGCGUGGGACCGAAAUCCCUCGCGCUAUUUGAGCGACCGACGUCGGUUUAGCUAGUUGGUGGGGUAAAGGCCUACCAAGGCGACGAUCCGUAGCUGGUCUGAGUGGGCGACCAGCCACCCUGGGAGUGAGGCACGGCCGAGACUCCGACGGGGAGAAGCAGUGGGGAAUUUUGGAGGAGGGAGGAGACGCGAAUACAGCCAUGUCGCGUGCAGGAAGAUGGCGUGAGGGUUGGAAGACGCUUUUGUUCGGGGGGAAAUCCUCUGCGCUAAUACCCCGGGGGGAUGACGGUACCGGAAGAAUAAGCACCGGCUAACUACGUG
rnacentral:rRNA from 1 species